UACGGGGGGAGCAAGCGUUGUUCGGAUUUACUGGGCGUAAAGGGCUCGUAGGUGGCCAACUAAGUCGGACGUGAAAUCCCUCAGCUUAACUGGGGAACUGCGUCCGAUACUGGAUGGCUCGAGUUUGGGAGAGGGAUGCGGAAUUCCCGGUGUAGCGGUGAAAUGCGUAGAUAUCUGGAGGAAUACCGGUGGCGAAGGCGGCAUCCUGGACCGAGAUUGACACUGAUGAGCGAAAGCCAGGGGAGCAAACGGG
rnacentral:rRNA from 1 species